rnacentral:tRNA from 1 species
GGUAGGAUGGCUGAAUGUUUAAGCGGUGGAUUGUAGCCCCAUGGACAGAGGUUUGAUUCCUCUUCUUACCA